GGUAUAAAUAAGGCAUUGAUAAGAUAGUUCGCUCUCUUCUCUUCUGGGGAGGUUGGAGAACGGUGGUCCCUGUCUGGGCCUGGCUUAUCUGGAGCUGAGGCCUACAGUAACUGCUGUUAUCGGCCACGCGUGAGGGGGGAGUGCUGGGCUGUGUCCAGACGUACUGCUUUCUUUCAAGGGAAGUGAUCAAGAAGACUUUUUUCCAUUUGAGAACGCAAUAUUUCUGACCAGGUACAUGAAGAACCUACAGCAAAAAACACAACACAGUUCAAGCAUUUCCUGCUUAUAAAAGGCGAAUACAGAUGUCAGGAAAGACCCCUCUUCUAUGAACUGUUCCUGGCAAAUAAUGUGAUCAAAUGGCCAUCUAUAGAAUAUUCAUGAAGGUAUGAUGACAGGCAUUUGAACAUAUUUCAAGAAGAACAAUGAGUAAUAAAUAUCAAAGGACAGUUCCUAUUUUAAGCAAAUUGCCGGUUACCAAUGAGUUCUGUGAACUAUGGAUCCUAACAGAGAAUGGAAUUUCAGAAUGAAAAACACAGCAAGAAAAUAAAUGCUGACCACCACACAGCCUGAGUGUCUGGAUGCCAGGGAUACUCUGAAACAGAUAUUUUGAGAUCUUCCUUGGUAUAUCAAACAGAGAAGCUCCAAAAGAGUCUAAUUAUGUUAAAUCAUCCUAUCCUAUGUGGAUACAGAGAUAGAAGCAAAAAACGACCUUCUGCCACUCUGUUUUGCAGACCUGAUGCUGCUUUUUCCUUUGCUGAAAAUUUGCAUGUUUUCUCAGAGCCUGUUUCUUUCUCACAAUAAACAAUGCAAAGCCUUCCUGCCAAAAAAAUGUCCAAAUGCUAAA